rnacentral:rRNA from 1 species
ACGAACGCUGGCGGCGUGCUUCACACAUGCAAGUCGAACGGAAAGGCCCUGCUUUUGUGGGGUGCUCGAGUGGCGAACGGGUGAGUAACACGUGAGUAACCUGCCCUUGACUUUGGGAUAACUCCAGGAAACUGGGGCUAAUACCGGAUAGGAGCUCCUGCUGCAUGGUGGGGGUUGGAAAGUUUCGGCGGUUGGGGAUGGACUCGCGGCUUAUCAGCUUGUUGGUGGGGUAGUGGCUUACCAAGGCUUUGACGGGUAGCCGGCCUGAGAGGGUGACCGGCCACAUUGGGACUGAGAUACGGCCCAGACUCCUACGGGAGGCAGCAGUGGGGAAUAUUGCACAAUGGGCGGAAGCCUGAUGCAGCAACGCCGCGUGCGGGAUGACGGCCUUCGGGUUGUAAACCGCUUUCGCCUGUGACGAAGCGUGAGUGACGGUAAUGGGUAAAGAAGCACCGGCUAACUACGUG